AAGGGCGGACGGGCGGUCGCUCCGUAUCCGAAAAGGAUACGGGGAGGAAAGUCCGGACUUGUGGGCAAGCGGUGCCGGGCGCAAGCCCGGGCUCCUCUGGGGUGACCCAAAGGAGACGGAAAGUGCCACAGAAACUAUACCGCCCGCUCUAAGCGGGUAAGGGUGAAAUAGUGCGGUAAGAGCGCACUAUCUCUCCGGGCAACCGAAGAGAUGGGCAAACCCCACCGCAAGCAAGGCCGAACAGGAAGGAGAGGAUUGCCCCCUCGCUUUACUUCCGGGUUGGCCGCUAAGAUAAAUGACCGCUAAAACAGAAUCCGGCUUACGGUCCGCCCAAUAAA
rnacentral:RNase_P_RNA from 1 species